CCACCUCCGGCCACCGCCCAGCCCCGCCGGACCUCCCCCGCGUCCCCCUCGCCCUCCGCCGGCUUCCCCUCGCCGCCCUAGCCGCCGGAGCAGCCCCGAUCAGCCCCGUCCAGCAAACCCGCGAGUGGGUUUCCAGCUGGUUCAAGGCCGUUUUGGGCCGUUUCCGGGCCUCGGAUCCGUGAGUCGCUUUGGGAACAAUUGUUCCUCGUGUCGCCGCCGUCGGAUUGAUCCGAUUUGCGCGCGAUUUGGUGAGUAAUCUCACUAAUCCUGGAUUAGUUGGCUAAUUAUGCUUAAGGUUAGUUUAGAUUUAAUUAAUUAUAUUUAUGUUGUUAGAUUAGAAUAAAUUAGCAAUUAUUAGUCAAUUGUGAUGCGAUUUAGAUAAAUUGAUUGCGCAAUUAGCAAGUAGACGUGGUCUACUAAUUAUUGGAAGUGCCUCGGGAUUUUUCCCGACCCUUAGUGGGCUCCAAUUAGGCUUUUCGGGCUUCAGUGGAUUUUUUAGUAUUUAAUUAUUAAUUUUCGGAAUUAAAUUAUUAAUUUUCGGAAUUAAAUUAAAUAAUUAUUUAUUUUUUGAAAAUUUAACUGAGAUGGCCCGGGACCGGAAUAUUGUGCUGAUGACCGUGGUGAAGUCCGUUUAUUUAAUCGGGCUUUAUUUUGAGCUAAAUUGAAUUUUUAAUAUUAAUUAUUUAAUUUUCGAAAUUAAUUAUUUAAUUAAUUAUUUUUCAGAAAUUAAGAUUUUGAUGGCCGACGAUCGAAAUCUCGUGCUGAUUGUCGUGGCGUAGUCCGUUUAUUUAUUUGAGCUCUACGUUGUAUGGAAUUGAAUAAAUUGUGAUAUUUUAGGGAUUUACCCUAAAUUGAUUGGAAUCGAUUGAGAUUGAAUUAUUGAUUAGAAUCGAUUGAGAUUGAAUUAUUGAUUGGUGAUUGGCCAAGUAUGUUAUUCAGCAUUUAUAAUGCUUUGUUGAGUUGAUUUAAUUAUUUGAUUGAGAAAUCGUUGGGCAUUGGUUGUCGGUAUUGAAAGAAGAUUGGUAACCACUUGAAAGAAAGCACGUGGGCUUGGUGAAUUGGAAUAUCACCUGGAGAAUGCACGUGAAUUCAGUGGUUGAAUGUCACUUUGGCGAAAAGGUCGCCUGAGAGAAUGCACGUGGCUCGGAGACUCGGUAUGUCGUCCUAAAGAAUGCACGUGGCUCGGUGACAGAGUUUGGCAUCUAAAAUGGCACAUGGCUCGGUGAUCUGAUGCAUCACUUUGGUAAGCGAGUACCUUAGAGAAUGCUCGUGGGCCCAGGCAUCUAAAAUGACACGUGGCUCGGUGAUCUGAUGCGUCACUUUGGUGAGCGAGUACCUUAGAGAAUGCACGUGGGUCCAGUAUUCGAAAUGGCAUCUAAAAGGGCACGUGGCUCGGUGAUCUGAUGCGUCACUUUGGUAAGCGAGUACCUUAGAGAAUGCACGUGGGCCCGGGCAUCGUAAAAAGGACACGUGGCUCGGUGGCUUGAUGUACCACCUUGGCGAAGAGGUCGCCUUAGAGAAUGCACGUGGGCCCGAGGUUUGAGGCAUGUGGCUCGGAGACUUGGGAGGUCGUCCUGGAGAAUGCACGUGGCCUAGCUUUCAGAUACUCCCCAGUGGGGAUUGAAUUGUAUGACAUGUAAUCGACUGGUUCGAUUUGUUUUGAGUAAAUGGGUGCCUAUUGUGAAUUGUACUGACUUGCAGGUGAGAUCUAAGGCCAAGGUAAGUCCUCCGCCCUGUGCGUGUUUAGGCAGACUAUAGUAUAAUGGUUUAUCUAAUCGGGCUUAGUGAGGUAGAACUCGCUGAGAUGUAGUCUCAUCCCAGUUUGGGGAAAACUAUUUCAGGACCCCACUGAAGAGCUGAGAAGGAGGAAUCCGAGAAGGAGGACUCGGAGGCGAAUCUUAAGGAGAAAGACUUUUGGAGGAAGAAGGCAAUCCUGAGAGGGGCCUUGAGUACGGCCCAGUUCGUCUAAGUUUCUGUCUUCUUUUGAGAUCUCCAUUUUGAUGUGAAUAGUUUUGAAGUGGUUUGUGUUUUGU
rnacentral:lncRNA from 1 species